rnacentral:lncRNA from 1 species
GACACUCUCACGUUACAAGUCAAAUUUAUAAAAAUUUAAUUAAGACAAUAUAAAAUCUGGUAUGAAACUAGAGUUUAUGAUUCAGAUUAUCCACCAUUUAUAUCUAUAUAUCAAACAAUAGUCUCGUCUCACUUCAGUUCCUAACAUAGUAUGCAGAACCAUUACAACGUAAAUUUUACAUGUAAUUGAUUUUUAUGUUUUGGGAAAGGGUUUGAGAGCUGAAGAUGGAGAGAGAUGUUUCAUUAGCGAUGGCGAAGGAGUGAGGGGGUCACUUUCCGUCAUCCCUUCCGUUACUAGAAACAUAAGGAGCUUUUCGAGUUGCUGGGGGUCAUGUUGGUGACCGUGGUGUUUUUGCUAGAGCUUCUGGUGAUUAUGCUAUUGUUAUUAGUCAUAGUCAUGAUAAUGAUACUUCUAGGUUUGCUUUUAUUAUCUCUUUUUUGUUUUAAUUUGUUGAUUAUUGUAAUGGUGAAGGUUUGCUUCCGAUCUUGACUGCUCAUGAGAUUGAUGUUGGAAGUGGCUUUUUUGUGAAGGCGUAGUGUGAACAAUUGAUAUGGAUGCUACUGAAGGUGUAGUGAGAUUUGAUUUGGAGAUAAUUUUAGUUUGAGUUUUUAGUGUUAAUGGUUCUGGACAUAUUUUUUGUCAUGUAAUUUAAGAGCAUCCACAAAAAAAUAUUCAGAUUAAGACUCACAUUAAUGAUAAUAUCAACCCCCAUUGUGGAAAAAAAAAAUAGGGAGAUUCACAGUCCUUAUUUUUUAUCAUCAACCACAAAAAAUUAUUCAGAUUAAGAUUCACAGUUUACAUUAAUCUGGACAUAUUUUUUAUCAUUUAUGUUCUCCCAAAAGUAAAAUCAGCAAUACACACAUAAUUUUAUUUUGGAAAACUAAGUAAGACAAUUUUUUUUUCCGAAUGAUAAGAAAUAUAUAAGUAAAGCACUAACCAAAUGUAGCAUAAGUCAAAACUAAAUCAAAAGAAAACAUUGUUAUAUUUAAAAGCAUAAUCAAACUGCAGAAUCGCCUUCAUUCCAUCUGCAGUUUUCUUCAUUCAUCUUUUUCUUUUGGCUGCUUGUCUUCCCUUCCAUGCAGAAUAACAUUCAGUUUUCAUUCCAUCUGCAAUUUUGCAUAAAAAUAAUAAAGCUUGUCGAGUGCACCUUAAUAUUACCAAAGUAAAGAACUAUACGUAGUUUGUAUUUGAAAGUCUCUGAUCCUUUUGUAUGUGUAACAUGGAACUCCUUCAUAGUCAUCAUAAGAAUGGAGGCAUUCCCGCAAAUCAGGAAUGGUUCUCAUUUUUGUGUGGAGUUUCUCACACUAUCAUGAUAUUGCUUCCUUUUUCUCUUAAAUACUCCAGUACCCUUUUGUUUCCGCAGUCUACUGAUAUCAGAACCAUCCAUGGCUUCUUUUCUGUUUUUUUUCCUUGUAUAGCAACAACUUGGCACUUGUCAUCUCCCAUUAUUUAGCCAUGCCACAAGCCAACAUUGCUUUUUUUAUUUGCGCAUCUCCAAAAUUCCUGCCUCUCAUUGUUCUCUGGUAUUUUAUGUUGCUGGUUAUGUUUGCUCUCAACUUCUUUGUUUCUACGAAGUGCCCAAAAGUCAAGAUCUUAGGCAAACCGUCUUCACUCUUCGCUAAUUCGUUUUUUUUUAGAACCAUAAUCAUUGCAUAUUCAAAUUCGUCUACAUCAAAAUUCUUGGGCAAUGGGAUAUUCUCAUAGUCCCAAACAAUUCCCACAUGGGAGUCGGGAUUCAUAGGUCCCCAGGAACUCAACCAUGCGAGGAAUAAUGGGACUUUGAGAUAGGUUGAAAUUUCUGUCUUUCCAUCAUUGUGAAUUUCCGUGACCGCGCAUCUUAAAACUGUUUGUCUAAAGUCUUCAAGAUACUUUGAAUACCAUCUUUUGUAACUGCCAAAUAUAGACAUGGGUGCAGCAAUCUGAUCAUUCACCGCGUUGACCGGUAUGAGAUCAUCCAUAGAGCUCUCUGCAAUACAAUACAAUACAUGCAUAAGGAAUCAACGCAUAGCAGAAUUGAUUUUGAAUAAAAUUCUUAUUAAACUAACAUAACUUACUUAGUGUUAUCUACAGACAACUGACACCCAAUUUUUUUUUCCAGAUUUGUUGAUUACUUCCUGCAACAGUGUUUGCAUGAGUUAUAUAAAAUCUAAAAAUUAAAAUAAUUGGUUAUUCAGAGUAACUCACCUUCAUUUUUCUUUCUAUGGACUUUCUUAGCCCACUUUUUAUCGAAACCUCCAGAUGAGUUAGUUGACUCAGUUCUCUGGACAAAGUUGAUUUUGCAUCGCCAAUUAUUGUAUCAAUUGGAUUCAUGGGCUGGUACGUUGCCAUUUUCGGAUCUUCUACCUGCAUUGAACAAAAACAACUAUAAAUCGAUGGAAAUCAUAAAACGACCAUCUAAAAAUGUAUAUGAUGUUCAGGUUUUGACAGAUUAGACAAUACUAACACUUUUUGGAAUAAAAUGUUUGGUCUAACUAGAAAUAAGCUCAAUAAUGUAGAAAUGAGUAUAUUUACGAAUGAGUGAACACAAAAGACAAAAUAAGAUUACAAAUGAAUGCAUUAUAGAGUUAAGGUAGCAACUUUGUAUUAUGUGUAUUAGGCUAUUAACAUAUAUCUCUAGUUUCAACGUACACUUUCUAAUCUAAUCUUGUUUUUAAUAAAAAGUUCUUAAUUAAUUGAAUGAUUUAAACGAAGAUUGUUCUCUUUAAUCUCUACCACAUAUGAUGGAACACACAUAGAAAAGUCCAUUGAUUCGGUGAUGUAAUCAUUUUAGAAUAAAAAUAGACUAAUUGUGGUAUUGGGAACUAAAUCAUCUUUAUUUUGCUUAAUUAUUUGUUAAGUUGUUGUUGAAGCCCUACAAAAUCUAUUGUAGUGGUUAAAAAGUACUUUGUGUUUUGUCUAGUCUUGUUUAUUUUUUGUAGGAUUAGGAAGGAAAAAAUCUAGAAUCUAUGCUUUUAGUUUGAAUAUGAAUGAAGAAAACUACAAAGUUGCUAUCUUAACUCUAUAAUGCAUUCAUUUGUAAUCUUAUUUUGUCUUUUGUGUUGACUCAUUCGUAAAUAUACUCAUUUCUAGUUAGACCAAACAUUUUAUUCCGUAAAGUAUUGUCUAAUCUGUCAAAACCAGAACAUCAUAUACAUUUUUAGAUGGUCAUUUUAUGAUUUCCAUCGAUUUAUAGUUGUUUUUGUUCAAUGCAAGCAUAAGAUCCGAAAAUGGCAUCGUACCAGCCCAUGAAUCCAAUUGAUACAAUAAUUGGCGAUGCAAAAUCAACUUUGUCCAGAGAACUUAGUCAACUAACUCAUCUAGAGGUCCCGAUAAAAAGUGGGCUAUGAAAGUCCAUAGAAAAAAAAAAUGGUGAGUUACUCUGAAAUUUUAAUUUUUACAUUUUUGACUUUAUAUGACUCAUGCAAACACUGUGUUGCAGGAAGUAAUCAACAAAUCUGAAUUUUUUUUGGGUGUCAGUUGUCUGGAGAUAACUCUAAGUAAAUUAUGUUAGUUUUAUAAGAAUUUUAUUCAAAAAUCAAUUCUGCUAUGCGUUGAUUCCUUAUGCCUGUAUUGUAUUGCAGAGAGUUCUAUGGAUGAUCUCAUACCGGUCAACGCAGUGAAUGAUCAGAUUGCUACACCAAUGUCUAUAUUUUGCAGCUACAAAAGACGGUAUUCAAAGUAUCUUGAAGACUUUAGGCAAACAGUUUUAAGAUGCGCAGUCACGGAAAUUCACAAUGAUGGAAAGACAAAAAUUUCAACUUAUCUCAAAGUCCCAUUAUUCCCCGCAUGGUUGAGUUCCUGGGGACCUAUGAAUCCCGACUCCCAUGUGGGAAUUGUUUGGGACUAUGAAAAUGUCCCAUUGCCCAAAAAAUUUGAUGUAGACGAAUUUGAAUAUGCAAUGAUUAUGGUUCUCGAAAAAAACGAAUUAGCGAAGAGUGAAGACAGUUUAGUUUGCCUAAGAUCUUGACUUUUGGGCACUUCUAGAAACAAAGAAGUUGAGAGCAAACAUAACCAGCAACAUAAAAUACCAAAGAACAAUGAGAGGCAGGAAUUUUGCGGAUGCGCAAAUAAAAAAAGCAAUGUUGUCUUGGGGUAUGGCUAAAAAAUGGUAGAUGACAAGUGCCAAGUUGCUGCUAUACAAGGAAAAAACAGAAAAGAAGUCAUGGAUGGUUCUGAUAUCAGCAGACUACGGAAACAAAAGGGUACUGGAGUAUUUAAGAGAAAAAGGAAGCACUAUCAUGAUAAUAUGUGAGAAACUCCACACAAAAAUGAGAACCGUUCUUAAUUUGCAUGUCAACUGGGAACGCGUCCAUUCUUAUGAUGAUUAUGAAGGAGUUCCAAAACAUGUUCCACAAACAAAAGGAUCAGAGACUUUCAAAUACAAACUACAAAAGUAAGUAUAGUUUUUUACUUUGGUAAUAUUAAGGUGUACUCGACAAGCUAAUUAUUUUUAUGCAAAACUGCAGAUGGAAGAGAAUCUUGGAAGGAAAACUGAAUGUUAUUCUGCAUGGAAGGGAAGACAAGCAGUCGAAAGAAAAAGAUGAAUGAAGAAAACUGCAGAUGAAAUGAAGGCGAUUCUGCAGUUUGAUUAUGUUUUUAAAUAUAACAAUGUUUUCUUUUGAUUUAGUUUUGACUUAUGCUACCUUUGGUUACUGCUUUACUUAUGUAUUUCUUAUCAUUCGGAAAAAAAUCUGUCUUACUUUUGUUUUCCAAAAUAAAAUUAUGUGUAUUGCUGAUUUUACUUUUGUAGAUGACACCACCUCUGAAUAGGUUUUACUUUCUAAAUGGUAUAAUAGUAUUACUAAUUACUAACAAGUAAAGUUGUUAAUAAUUACGCACCUUUUGAUGGAGCAAGGUCCUUGAACUAGUGCUGACAAGUUUAUCAUUGGUGGGAGGCUCCUCUGCCAUAAAUUGGAACUCCUCUGUUCUUUUUUAUGCGCUGUAACAAUAACUGUAUCAUUAGCCUUCCACAUAAAAAACAGAUUUCAAUCUGAAUGUGGUGUACAAUACCACUACUACUCUAAGCCUCUAACUAAUCCAUAUUUGUCUUUGAUACAUCCAAUAUUUCGUUCUUUUCUAUUUUUUGAUGAAUUAAUACAAAAACAAUAACCAGCACUAAAGCUUUUUCCGAGAUCAAUUUAGCCACAUGAAUCAAAACUAUAUGUCAUAAUAUCAAAAAUGUCUUAACAAACAAUUUAAAUCUAAAUCCUUAUGACUUAUCAAAAAAUUCCCUUAGGCUUCAGUAACAUUUUUCUAUCAUAAAUACAGCACUCAUCUGUUUCAUCCAACUCACUUGAUUAAAAGCUUUCAGGGAUACUGUGCUCAAUAACAGAUUUACCAUGUUAGAGCCUUAACCACCCUCUUCUACAAAGCAUAUAUUAGUGACAGCCUACAGGGGAUUAGUAGAGUUGAAAAAAUUUCAGAAACUAAUCAGGAAUACUAAACCCCAGUUUGUAAAGAGAUUUUCCGGUUUUUCCCUACAUUUUAGGGAAAAGGUCGGGGAGUCUGCUAUUUUAUUUAUUCUAAAUGAGGAAAAAUGAAAGAUAGAAUGCUAGUACUUUGUAGGAAAUAAGACGUGCUUGUGGAUUAGUGUGAUACUUCCCUUCAACAUCUUGAGCUUCAUGACUAUAACUACAAGUUGAUCUCCACCAGCAGGAGUGCCUUCAGGAGCUUUAGGUAUUGUAUGUGUCUCAUCAAAGUCCUUGCAACCUGAUCUUUGAUAAGCACCAGGAAAUACACUUUAAAUUAGUUUAAUCACCAUAAGUCCUGAAUAAAACCAAUACUAGCAGAGGACAUUGACAAAGACGUGAAUAUAUGUUAGGAAGAGUAAUAUAUUUUAUGACAAGGUUAUACAUGCUACAUAAUAUUACCAUCAAUUUUCUGUUUUCGCUUUAUUCUGUAAUAAUGAAAUAUUGAAAAAAGUUGGGGGCAGGGUCCUGAGAGUGAGCGUCUGAAACUCAACAGAAUCAACUUUAUAUUUCAGAAUCGGCUCUUCAAUUAUGGGUCUCGCAAUGUUCUUCGCGGUCUUAACAAAUCGCCUAAACAUCAAAACAAAAACAAAAACAUAAACAAAAAUAAUUCCAAAACACCUUAAUAAAAACAUAAGUUCUGUAAACUUGUUCAACCAAUCAACCUUAAUAAAAACAAAAAAUAUAGUUCAGAACCUAAAUCCUAAAACCCAAAAAUAGAAAUGUAACAAAGUUGUAUACUACUCUAUGUAACAUCGACGCCUAUGAUCAAAAGUGUGUCCAAUGUCCAACACUGACACAGACACGUGUGAUUACAUUCAAUUAAUUAAUUUUCUCAAACUAUCACCUGUGUGGACAUGUCUGUGUCAGUGUCGUAUCCGGUGUAUGUGUCAGUGCUUCGUAGAUAGUACUAGUUAAUUUAAUUUAAUUUACCCUAUCAAAGUCAGGAUUUUUAAUCCAAUUAGGAAUCACAGGAAGCACUGGUGUAAUUUUAGGAUCCAGUUCCAAAAUAAAAAACAACAAAAGUUAAAAAAGAAAAAAAAAAAAAAACCUCAAAAAUAAGCUAACUAAACAACAUAAACAAUGAGACCAAUUGAAAUUCCAACACCAAAUCCGAAGAACCCAUUUUGGAAUGGAUUUAAAUAAUUUCAGAUUGGGUUUUUGUUCACUUCGCCAUUAAUACAACUAUGAUGAAACUGAAGGUGUAAUGGAAAAUGAUUAGGGGUGAUGGUGAUGUUGUUCGUAAAUCUAGGGAUGGAGAUGGUGGGGUAGAUGAAGAAUGAAUGAAAUUUAACUAGCUGAAAUAAAGUAUUCAUGAUCAAUCAGUUUUUAUUUAUGAGUAUUUUGUUGUUAAAAUAUGCAUUUUUAUAUGAUUUAUUAUGGAGCAUUUGAUUUUUAGAGAGAGAAAUAUAUGUAGAGACAAGCUGUCAGCACGGGAAGAUGCCAAAUCAUAAUGAUCGCCCAAUAUAAUGACUCUCUUCCUAGAUACAAAAUACUCAUAAAUAAUUCUUACACAGAUCUAAAUAUAGAAAAUUGAUUUUUGAGAAAUAAAGGUAGGGGACUCUGCUAUUUUAUUUAUUCUAAAUAAAGAAAAAUGAAAGAUAGAACCCUGAUACUAAGUAGGAACUUGUACCUUAGUCUUUUUCUCUUCCCCUCUGAAAAUAAGACAAGCUUGUGGAUUAGUUUGAUACUUCCCUUCGACAUCCUGAGCUUCAAGGACUGUAACUACAAGUUGACCUCCACCAGCUGGAGUGCCUUCGGGAGCUUUAGGUAUUGUUUGUGUUUCAUCAAAGCCCUUGACUGCCUCCUCUUCAUUUAAGCGUUUAUAAGUUAAUUCCACAACAAUCUGUCCUCGCAAUUUCUCAUUAUGAGUAUCAUUGGGAUCCAUAGUUUUGAGAAGGUCCAGAGUAAAACGUUU